rnacentral:rRNA from 1 species
CAGCACCUCAAGUGGUCAGGAUGAUUAUUGGGCCUAAAGCAUCCGUAGCCGGCGCUGUAAGUUUUCGGUUAAAUCUGUACGCUCAACGUACAGGCUGCCGGGAAUACUGCAGCGCUAGGGAGUGGGAGAGGUAGACGGUACUCGGUAGGAAGGGGUAAAAUCCUUUGAUCUAUUGAUGACCACCUGUGGCGAAGGCGGUCUACCAGAACACGUCCGACGGUGAGGGAUGAAAGCUGGGGGAGCAAGCCGGAUUAGAUACCCGUGUAGUCC